UGUAUUUAUUUGCAGCAGUUUUGGAAACUUUUAGCAAAGUUAUGCAAUGGAAAUGUCAGUGAGUCAGUAACUGGCAGCUGAAGAGCACAGGAAGAAAACAACAAAAAGCACAAGCUGCAACAUGCGUGUCUCAGAGUGAUGUUCCUGAAAUGUUCGAUAUCAAUGGCACGAUGAAAGAGAAACCAUCAAGAAACAACAUGUUGAGCUUAUUAGUGACACACCCCCAAACCUGGAACACACAACACAACUUAAUCUAUACUGAUUCUGAGAGGCCGCCGCACUCUUGGAAGGUCAACGCUGAGGGAGCGCCACGAUGUCGCAGGGUCAGUGCUGAGGGAGUGCCGCGAUGUCGGAGGGUCAGUGCUGAGGGAGUGCCGCACUGUCGGAGGGUCAGUGCUGAGGGAGUGCCGCACUGUCGGAAGCUACCAUGAGUCCUAGUGAUUAGCCCUGACAUUCAAACGUGGAUCAUCUCAUCCUGAGCCAAAAUCCUGGGACUCCCUCCCCAGGGACUGCAGCUGUUCAAGAAGGCAGCUCAUCACCACCUUCUCAAGGGGCAACUAGAGGCAGGAUGGGGGUGUCACUGGCUGGGCCAGUAUUUAUUGCCUAUCGCUGAUUGUGCAGAGGGCAGUCGAGGGAGCCAUUGAUGAGGGUCUGGAGCCACAUGUAAACCAGUCUGGUGCUUCCUAAAGGACGUUAGAGGACCAGUCGGCACUUACCUCAAUGACGGAUUCAUGAUUUCUUUCGGAGUCCAGGUUCCACCAUCUGCCAUAGCAAGAUGCAAGCCUUCUUUCCCAGAACAUUAAAAGCCCGUCAAUAUUACCACUAGUCUAUCACCCCUCGUUGUGAGUGGUCUUUUCAAACUAAGGUCUGGGGCAUACACUUACAGAGCCCAUAUAAACAUCCAGAAGUCCCCGCUGACACUCUGACCAGGAACCUGAACAAUGGGUUACUGCAGCGAAAACAACGUUAUAGGAGCAGAGUUUGGCCAUUCAGCCCAUCAAGUCUGCUCCACAAUGUCAUUGACAAUCUGAGACAAACAAAGUCUUAUAAAGUUUAAGGGAACUAAGCAUUCCCUCGAUGACAGGAAUGCCUUCAGGCCAGAGUUGGCUAUUCCUUCGGAGGGCCUACAAUUGUUCAUACAAAGACAUUUGUUCACAAGUCUAGCUGUCACCAUUUCCUCUCAGGCCUCUCAGUCUUGCCUUGGCCUUGCUCCGGAUCCCUCGGCACCACUGUCAGUCUUCCCUCUUUCCUUAUCUGAGGAGACAGGGGGCAGGCCACCGUCUCCCCAUCUAAGGGGAGGUGAUGGCCUAGUGGUAUUAUCGCUGGACUGUUAAUCCAGAGACCCAGAUAAUAUUCUGGACCCAGGUUCGCAUCCUGCCAUGGCAGGUGGUAGAAUCUGAGAUCAGAUAAAAUAUCUGCAAUUAAGAGUCUAACGAUGACCAUGAAUCCAGCGUUGAUUGUCGGGAAAAACCCAUCUGGUUCACUAAUGCCCUUCAGGGAAGGAAACUGCCACGCUUACCUGGUCUGGCCUACAUGUGACUCCAGACCCACAGCAAUGUGGGUGACUCUCGGCUGCCCUCGGGGCAAUAAAUGCUGACCUGGCCAGUGAAUAAAGGAAGCCCUGACUCUGUCAGUGAGUGAGGGGCUGUGCAUGGUCCUGGAAGCAGUCACUAUCCUGGAGGUCCUGCCCGUGAGGACUGGAGUUCUCCUCCUGGGGAACAGAUGGUCAUCUUCGGGAGACAAAUUGUCUGAUCACUGAUAGAGCCAGCGGACGCUUGGGCAGGAUUUGCAAAUGACUUUAGCCUGGCAGGGUGUUCUUAUUGCCCAGGGUGGUGGUCUUGCCCCAGUGGCUUUUUACUUUAGCAGAGGCUUUCGGCCCAGCUUUCCAGUGGGGCCGUUUUGUCAUGGUGCUCUUCAUCUUUUGACCAGCCUCCCACGAAACCAGGAGCCAUUAAAUGGUCCAUGAUGAACUUUUGUCUUAAAUUUACUUUUUAUUGUUACUUAUGAGUUUUGUUUAUGACUUCUGUCAUUGAUAUGGGUGCCAUGGUAGGGCAGAUUACAUCACUUUUCAUUGUAUUUUCCUUGUAAAAUUACACAUAACAAUAAAGUCUAAUUUCUAAUUA